UACGGGGGGAGCAAGCGUUGUUCGGAUUUACUGGGCGUAAAGGGCGCGUAGGCGGCCACCUCAAGUCACUUGUGAAAUCUCUGAGCUUAACUCAGAACGGCCAAGUGAUACUGCAGUGCUAGAGUGUGGAAGGGGCAAUCGGAAUUCUUGGUGUAGCGGUGAAAUGCGUAGAUAUCAAGAGGAACACCUGAGGUGAAGACGGGUUGCUGGGCCAACACUGACGCUGAUGCGCGAAAGCCAGGGGAGCAAACGGG
rnacentral:rRNA from 1 species